CUCCGCAGCCGCCUCCCCCGAUCCCUCCGCAGCGAGCCAAUCUCGCAGCCGCCUCCCUUGCUUCCUUCGCAGCCGCCUUCCCCGCUCCCUCCGCACCUCGUCCCCUGAGCCCGUUCCCCUCCUUCUCUGCUCUCCACUAUGUCUAUGCCGCCUCCUCCUCUCUCACUUUUCUCUCCGGUGGCGGUGCCAAAAGAAGGCGCACAUGAGCGGUGGAUCCGUGCCGGAGAAGAGCUGCGGGGACUGCGCUUCGGUCGCGGUGGGGUGCAGCUGCUGGGAAGACGCUCACAGCCGCCAAAGAAGGCACACACGGGCGGUGGAUCUGCGCUUCGGUCGCGGUGGGUGCAGCGGCGGGGAAGACGAACUAGGUCCGUCGCCCAUCUUCACCUCCUCGCCGCGUCCUUGCUGCCUCCAUGGCCAAGCGCACAUAUUUUUUUCUGUCCCUCCAUGGCGCUCGUUGCCGGCGGCAUCUCGAGGAACAUGUGACCUCCAUGGUGCUAGCUGCCGCUCUGAAUAGACAGGCUGGACGCAACGCACACGGUCUAGGAAGGCCACGGCAUGACUGUGUGAUGCAGUGAGGGCAACAACGACAACGGAGGAAUCUAUCCUCGUCUAGCUCCCACCCAGGCGGAGAGUUCGAGGACAUCUCCCAGUUAGCGGGGGAGAGUCGAGCACAUGUCAGCUCUUUCUUUUCCUUUCCUUAUGUUCCCAUGAUGACCUGGGAUUACCUGCAAUUACUCAAGUGAUUAGUUAUGACCUGUAGUAUCUAGACCUUAUUUGGUUUGGUCCAUUUAGCAUUGAUCAUCCAUUUUUCUAAAUUUAUUGGUAUUUUUAGUAUGCAAUUUGCUUUCUUGGUUUAGUCGCUUGUAAUUAGUGUACAUGCAUGUAACUUGUCCCUGUUAGCUUUUGUUUUUGCAGGUUACCGGUUGAUUUUUUGUGUUCAAACUAUUUUUGUGUUCUUUUAUUAUCAAUUGUAGGUGCUGCUUCUAUCUUCUGGAAGUUAACUGCAUUUUUCCUUCUAAAGUCCUCAGACCAGGCUGUCAUUGACAAAGAAAGGAGAGGAGACUACUUGGGGAAAACCGUCCAGGUUGUGCCACAUAUCACAGAUGAAACUUAGGAUUGGAUCGAACGCGUGGCAAUAAAGCCGGUUGACGGGAAAGAAGGGCCUCCUGAUGUUUGUGUGAUAGAACUCGGUGGAACUAUAGGCGAUAUUAAAUCAAUGCCUUUUAUUGAAGCAUUAGGUCAAUUUUCAUACCGUGUAGGACCUGGAAAUUUCUGCCUGGUCCAUGUCAGCCUUGUUCCAGUACUAAAUGUAGUUGGUGAGCAGAAAACUAAGCCUAAUUAAGGUAAUCCCUCGGCCAAAACAAAUUGGAGGGGAAGAUCGUCAAGGAUGAUUUUUGUCAUGGGUCAUGCUUCAAGAAAAGCAGGCUGGACUUACAUCUAUUUGGAAUAUUUAGAUGGCCAAGGUCCAAGAGUAUCAAGUUGCAGUGUUGCAAGGUAUACCCUGCCUUGGAGAAAGGCAUUCUGUGGUCUGCUUCGACAGGUUACAUGUAGUUUUCCCACUGCUUCUCCUAAUUAUGCCCAAUGCCAAAACCAGACAGAAAAGAGUGGGCACUAUUAGUUUUACUUUCUUAUCUGCUAUCAUAUUUUAUUCUUUACAGAGCAUCAAAUCUGAGAUCAAUCCAAUUUUGACACCCAUUAAUGAUGAAUUCAUGUUAUGAUUUACAAAAUAUAAAAUCUAAAAUGACAUGGUUUUAGAAAGUUGGGUGGGUUGAAAGAACCAAACCGUUUCAAGUUACACGUCUUCUCUGUCGUGGGCUAAAGGCUCUAUAUGUUUGCCUCGAUGAAUUUUCGAAAGAAAAUACAGUAUGCCUUUAUUUACCAUGGAUUGAUGGAGCUCACGUGUGUUUUCAUUGGUUUUUUAAAUGAUUUCUUAAGCGGCCUUUUAUGAUUGCGCACUAUUUGAUUUAAUUGGGCGUGAAGGGUAGCUCUUUUGAGUGCAUGUUUGGAAUAUGCAGUAUGGUGAAUGGUGCCGGAAAUAACUCUAUCCUGGCAAGAUGUGAGUCCCCGCUGUCCAGUCACUAUACAACAAUGAGGUGGUGUUGGAAACUAUGAAUUUAGCUUUCUCUUAAUUUUCUAAUUAUAGAGGUGCAUUUAAUUUGGAGCCUCGAUGAUGUCUAUAUCUAAAAGUUGUUUUUGUGUGUAUUAUGAUCCCCCGUCAGAACAAGAAUAGUAUACAUUUACUGUUUUCGACCAUAACUCAUUGAGUGAAAUUGCAAGCAUUCACAACUGUUCACCAGUUAGAAUUUCAAAGAGGGUUUUAUAUAGGCCCUAUUUUCAUUUUGAUCUGUCCAUGACAUCCUUGCAUUAAUAUUGUAUGAUAUUGAUUAUUCAUUUUCAGAUGUUCUACUCAGUGUAAUGCUACAUGUAUGUGCUUAUUAGGUCAUCCUACUAUUUGUAAUACAAUUCACAUUGCAUUAUAUUUUUAUUUACAUCUCUCUACUUAUUCACUAAUAACAUUGCUUCUAACUGGCUUCUUACGUCAUUGGCGCAACCGCAGUUAUCUACACGCCACCUGUCGCAUCAUGCUAGGAACCCACAAGAGAGCUACAAUAACAACCAACUGGUCUAAGUUUUGCCGCCUUGCAAAAAUCCAUGAAGGAGACAUCCGUGCCUUUCGUUUCAAGGUCACCACAAAGCAGCGUCUGGUUCUCAUUGUGCAUUGCCUUUAGAUAAACUAUCGACAACAAUGAAAGUUGUAUCUAAAUAUCAUCUAGCAUUCUAAGGACUGCUAAUCAAGCUCUAUGAUACGAUGAAACCUUCCUCUGUUUUUCGACGAUGCUAUUUGUUGCUUUUGAACAACUACCACCUAUGAUUUUAACUA